rnacentral:rRNA from 1 species
AUGAACGCUAGCUACAGGCUUAACACAUGCAAGUCGAGGGGCAGCAUGGUCUUAGCUUGCUAAGGCCGAUGGCGACCGGCGCACGGGUGAGUAACACGUAUCCAACCUGCCGUCUACUCUUGGACAGCCUUCUGAAAGGAAGAUUAAUACAAGAUGGCAUCAUGAGUCCGCAUGUUCACAUGAUUAAAGGUAUUCCGGUAGACGAUGGGGAUGCGUUCCAUUAGAUAGUAGGCGGGGUAACGGCCCACCUAGUCUUCGAUGGAUAGGGGUUCUGAGAGGAAGGUCCCCCACAUUGGAACUGAGACACGGUCCAAACUCCUACGGGAGGCAGCAGUGAGGAAUAUUGGUCAAUGGGCGAGAGCCUGAACCAGCCAAGUAGCGUGAAGGAUGACUGCCCUAUGGGUUGUAAACUUCUUUUAUAAAGGAAUAAAGUCGGGUAUGCAUACCCGUUUGCAUGUACUUUAUGAAUAAGGAUCGGCUAACUCCGUGCCAGCAGCCGCGGUAAUACGGAGGAUCCGAGCGUUAUCCGGAUUUAUUGGGUUUAAAGGGAGCGUAGAUGGAUGUUUAAGUCAGUUGUGAAAGUUUGCGGCUCAACCGUAAAAUUGCAGUUGAUACUGGAUAUCUUGAGUGCAGUUGAGGCAGGCGGAAUUCGUGGUGUAGCGGUGAAAUGCUUAGAUAUCACGAAGAACUCCGAUUGCGAAGGCAGCCUGCUAAGCUGCAACUGACAUUGAGGCUCGAAAGUGUGGGUAUCAAACAGGAUUAGAUACCCUGGUAGUCCACACGGUAAACGAUGAAUACUCGCUGUUUGCGGUAUACAGCAAGCGGCCAAGCGAAAGCGUUAAGUAUUCCACCUGGGGAGUACGCCGGCAACGGUGAAACUCAAAGGAAUUGACGGGGGCCCGCACAAGCGGAGGAACAUGUGGUUUAAUUCGAUGAUACGCGAGGAACCUUACCCGGGCUUAAAUUGCAGAUGAAUUACGGUGAAAGCCGUAAGCCGCAAGGCAUCUGUGAAGGUGCUGCAUGGUUGUCGUCAGCUCGUGCCGUGAGGUGUCGGCUUAAGUGCCAUAACGAGCGCAACCCUUGUUGUCAGUUACUAACAGGUUCUGCUGAGGACUCUGACAAGACUGCCAUCGUAAGAUGUGAGGAAGGUGGGGAUGACGUCAAAUCAGCACGGCCCUUACGUCCGGGGCUACACACGUGUUACAAUGGGGGGUACAGAGGGCCGCUACCACGCGAGUGGAUGCCAAUCCCAAAAACCUCUCUCAGUUCGGACUGGAGUCUGCAACCCGACUCCACGAAGCUGGAUUCGCUAGUAAUCGCGCAUCAGCCACGGCGCGGUGAAUACGUUCCCGGGCCUUGUACACACCGCCCGUCAAGCCAUGGGAGCCGGGGGUACCUGAAGUGCGUAACCGCGAGGAGCGCCCUAGGGUAAAACUGGUGACUGGGGCU